GUAGCUGACCUGCGGAAGGAUCAUUA
rnacentral:rRNA from 1 species